CUUGUUUAUAACGAGCGCAAACCUCCGCCAAAGUAACACCAACGUCCUCUCAAUGAUUAGCCAGAGAUGAUUUUUAAAAUGAGAAUAUCUGAAAUAAAAUCGACUACUCUCACAAACGAGAAUACUAAAAAUGAACCUGACUGCUCUCAAACGGAAAAUAAUCCAAAUAUAUAUAUAUAGAGAGAGAGAGAUGAAAUAAUAAUACAGUGAAGGAGAAAUAGUGAGAGUAAUAGCCAUGAGUGAAAAAAUAAUGACAAAGAGAAAGACGAAACAAAAUGACAAAGAGCGUCGUAUGAAUGAAAAAGGAAGGAGUGAUACAUGAAUAACGAAGGAAGGAGGGAAAAAGCCGAUAAACGGCGUUUGAAGUGUAUAAGAGAGAGGUAUGUUUGUGUGCGUGCGUGUAUGUACAUUGGAAAUGGGAUGGUAAUGUUCAAUGCUGAAAAUGUGUGAGUAUAUGUGUGCAUGUACAAGUAAAAAGCAGGAAAAAUAAUCCAGAAUCCUUGUCCAGUACCGGAUCGAUCCCAAAAUCUAAUCAGUUCGUGACAGUCAUGAGGCCAAACAUCCAUGACAGUUUCAUCCGAAUCUAUCCAGCGGUUCUUGAGCUAUCUUGUCCACGGACAAACAAACACAACUGAAAACAAUACCCCCGCCUUUGCUAAGGCGGAGGUAAUUAAGUGAAAAUAAGUAGCUAUAACAGAUCAGGAUCUGUGGUAUAACUAAAGUUCUGGGGGGUAAAGACACUUUUGGAACCCCACCUUGAUUUACAGGAAUUUUUCAUAUAUGCACCUGAACUGAUUACUACCUUACCUAGUAGCUAUAUCUCUCACAGGCAUAGAAAUAAGUUUGGAACUUGGCUCACUGGGUAUACAAGUAAGACACACACUAAUGGUGUGACAGUCAGGGUAGUAUGUUUUGCUACAUUUCUCAACUUCAUUAUCUACACACACACAUAUAAUGGCCUCUUCCUGAUGAUGCUUUGUAACAUAAGGAGAGGCCUUGCAGACAGCCAGUUCUACUCUCUGAACAAUGAUGACAGAUAUCCUAAAAAGAACCAGUCAACAUCAUUGGCUGCAUUCUAGUCACAGUUUUACAUCAGAGUUUUCCUUCUAGAGUGAUGUCUUAAUGAGGGCUAGGGGGCACUCACUCCCAGUAAUGUGGUACACCAUGUCUACGUUCUCAUUUUCAUGGUUCUCUGCUGACUAAACUUGUGCCAGUUGAAAAUGUCUCGAUCCUCUGUACAGCCACUGUGCUUUCAGCUUCAAAGUCACCAGUUUGUCAAUGAUUGUUGCAAGAACUACUUUUGUCUAUGAGAAAUAGUAGGACCUAGCCUGUGUACACAAUAAUGGAUGGCUUGUACGCAUACUACCCUGACUGUCACACCAUAUGUAUGUAUGUCAUGUGCCUUUAACUCCUUGAUGAGUCCUUGGAGUGCCGUCAUGACAUACAUCGUGUUUGGGGCAUUUUUAGAUUUCGUAGAGCCUAUCCCUCUCCAUGUCUGACUACAGUUGGUUUCUUCGAGAAGGCGAGAAACAGACAAAAAGAAAGAGUUAGAGAACAAUCGAUCCUAAAACGAUGUGACCCCGGUGUUGUUUUGAACCUAGCGCAGCUCUUAUUAAAUUUUUGCCAACCAAAUUUUCAUAAUUUAUUUUCGAAACAUGCAGUUCUGAAAUAGUUUUGCAUGUUGAUGACGAAAAUCGCAUUUUUUUUUUCUUUUAGAUUUUAAUACAUUUAAAAAAAAAUAAUAAUCUGGCGAAAAUUUGAAAAACAUGAAAUGGUUGGAUGAAAUUUAACAAGAUCCCACAGCGCGCAAUAAUUACCACAGAAUAAGUCAUUCAAUACUCGAAUGACCGCCAACAUCGUUUAACUUUAUACUGAAUAUUCUCUUUUUUGUGUGCUUUAGGCAAGCAUACUUAAUGUCUAUAUAUGUGCGUAUAAUGUAACAAGUUGUGGAAUUCAGUGUAAUUUAUUGUGUAGUUUUUUAUGUGAUCUAUCUGGAAGUAAAAAUUACUGAAAAUUAAAGGAAUGGCAACAGGGAGUUUUAAGCAAUGAAGAUAUUAUUAUUAAAGUGGUUUUACCAAAGUUUCAUUCCAGGCAAGGAAUUCAGAAUAAUAAUGUUUCAGUUCAAACAUUAGUACAUUAAGUAUCAAGUUGAUACUUAGAAUAUUUUUACGGAUAAUUUUAAAUCAGGUUGCACUCAUUCUCAGGUACUAUGAUAUGCUUAGAGUCCAAGGGAAGUAACUCUGCGUACAAGUCUAUGCAAUUAUUUUCUUUUUGUCAUGGGUGAGAGAAAUAACAACAAAACGUUGUGUUAGGGGAAAAAACUCUGCAUGAAAUUCGGGCUAAGAUUUUUUGAAAAAUUAAACCAUCUAGCUUUGACAACUGUGGAAGACAUCAGUUCUACUUUUGAUGUCUCUUCUAUCAUUGGAAAUUAAGGAAAACAUAAAGCCUUUACAUACUGAGUUUAAAGUCGCCGAAAUCACCUUUAUUUCUCAUCGUUUCGGUGUCAGUAUAAGGAAGAUGGAAGGCAGUGAGCUGGCAGAAUCGUUAGCACGUUGGACAAAAGGCUUAGCAGCAUUUCGUCCGUUUCUACUUUCUGAGUUCAAAAUUCCGUCGCGGUCGACGUUGCCUUUCAUCCUUUCGGUGUUAAUAAAAUAAGUACCAGUGAAACACUGGGAUCGAAAUAAUCGACUUACUCCCUCACCUGAAAUUGCUGGCCUUGUACCACAAUUCGAAAUUAAUAUAAGGAAAUUCUUUUCCAUUCUAGGCACCUGGCCCGAAAUUUUGGGGGAGGGAGCCAGUCGAUUAGAUAUACCUCAGUACGCAACUGGUACUUAAUUUAUCGACCCCGAAACGAUGAAAGGCAGAGUCGACCUCGGCGGAAUUUGAACUCAGAACGUAGCGGUAGACGAAAUACCGCGAAGCAUUUCGCCCAGCGUGCUAACGUUUCUGCCAGCUCGCCGCCUUAAUUAAGAUAAGGAAAUUGGAUUAGCAGAACUGUUAAAGCGUCAAACGAAAUACCUCGCCGACGCUUUACUAUUGGAAUUCAAACCCUGCCAUAAUCAACUUUGCCAUUCACCCCCACCCCUCACCCAGGGUUGAUAAAAUAAAAUACCAAUCAAGUAUUGGCAUCGAUAAAAUCGAUUACUUCUCUUCCACAAAGUUCAGGCCUUAUUCCGACAUUAGAAACAGUUAACCCGAGUUGUUGCCCUUACUGUUGCUUGCUGUUGUUGAACAACGUUCAACAGAUGCGAAUAAAGUUUUGAUUUUAUAAAAAUUAUUGCAGCCUCCACAGUAAAAGAACUCCAUUGUCUCAGUAUUAUCGUUUUCUUCCCAAGCAAACAGAACGCUCAGAGAGGAAAGCAUUAUUAACAACUAUAUUAUUAAUUAUUAUUAUUAAUUAGUGCAAAUCUUCAACCCCGUAAGAAUGUUGUAUGUUGCAGAGAGAUAUCAACCAACUUUACAGCGAGGUGAUCAUCUUCAUUGACGCGUCCAUGAAUAGAUUUGUUAGAAAUGAAAUAUUAACUCGGAAAAAUUGUGCGGAGAAGGAGAUGUAAUAUCUCACUUUACGAAGACUCGCUUUACGAGAGCCGGGUUUACGAGUUUUAUUUUUCAAGCACAAGAUCCAAAUUUUGAACGAAAAGCAAAAUUUUCUACUACCAUAACAAAUGCUUCUACAUGUUACUGAGAAAUUUAUAGAAAGCGAAAAAAUGCGCCUCAGCAAAAUCUGUCUACGAGUGCUUGUGAAUUGGCGAUCGAUUCUACAAGUGAUGGUGUGCGCGAGACUAGUGCGAGUCAAAAUGAUUCAGAAAACGAUUAUAAUUUUUUUUUUUUUUUUUUUUAUUAUAAAUGAUCUUGAUAUUCUUUUUACUUCACAUAAAAUAUUCUUUAUAUUCUA